AACCAUCGGCCGGGAAUCGAACCCAGGGCGCCCGCGUGGCACGCGAACAUUCUACCACUGAACCAGAAGCAAACGGU
rnacentral:tRNA from 1 species